AGCGAACGCUGGCGGCAUGCCUUACACAUGCAAGUCGAACGGUAACAGGUCUUCGGAUGCUGACGAGUGGCGAACGGGUGAGUAAUACAUCGGAACGUGCCUAGUAGUGGGGGAUAACUACUCGAAAGAGUGGCUAAUACCGCAUGAGAUCUACGGAUGAAAGCAGGGGAUCGCAAGACCUUGUGCUACUAGAGCGGCCGAUGGCAGAUUAGGUAGUUGGUGGUAUAAAAGCUUACCAAGCCGACGAUCUGUAGCUGGUCUGAGAGGACGAUCAGCCACACUGGGACUGAGACACGGCCCAGACUCCUACGGGAGGCAGCAGUGGGGAAUUUUGGACAAUGGGCGAAAGCCUGAUCCAGCAAUGCCGCGUGCAGGAUGAAGGCCUUCGGGUUGUAAACUGCUUUUGUACGGAACGAAAGGCCCCGGGUUAAUACCCUGGGGUCAUGACGGUACCGUAAGAAUAAGCACCGGCUAACUACGUGCCAGCCGCCGCGGUAAUAC
rnacentral:rRNA from 1 species